AACCCCAAAGUUACGAAAACCCUUACUAUGUAUUCUAGGUUAUGAAACAAAAAUCUUCAUCAACUUCGUGUAUGAUUUAGGGUUUAUAAGUUAUUGUUUUUUAUUUUAGGGUUCUUGCCUGGUUGCCGAAAUGAAAUACCUUUUUGUUUUCAUCUUUAGGAGAUAACAUAAGAAAGUUGUUUUUCAGGAUUUAGGAUUCUUAAUUUUAUUAUAAUGGAUCCAUUAAUCUUAUUCUAGUGGAUUUAGGGUUUUUGUUGUUUUGCCGUGGAAAAAAAAAAGUGUUUUCUGUGAUUUGGGAACAUGUGAAAGAAGAUUAGAGCUAUGUGAAGACCAGGAAAUUCCAUUAUUUCUCUUGGGCUCUACACCAGAUAGUUGGAUUCUUGGAUGUACUUUACUUGCCAUUGCUCCAGUUUGUACUUCUGUCUGGAACAUAAUCCAGCUUGCACAGUUUUAUAAAACAAGAUUUUGGUGUUGAGGCGAACUGUCGCAGGGAAGAAGUGCAAGAUCGCCAUUGAGCAGUUUCAAGGUUGUUAUAAGGAAGCAUACAAUCAGUUGCCAUAUAUCCCUGGAACAAGGUUUUGAACAAGGUGCCAAGUUAUGUGUAUUCCCGGAGAGGUUCCAACAAAACAUAAAGAUUCAAUGCCAGUGGUGAAGAACAGGACGUAUAUCCACCCCCAGAAAUACAGGGAUGGCUACAGAAAGAUUACGACUUACUCCAGCUUGUUGUCUUUAAAAGAACUACGUGAAAAAUUGGAAGACCAUGAGCAAGCCAUUUUCCGAACAACUGCAAUUGGGCAUCUUCUUGACAUGCCAGAAGAACAGUCGUGGUCUGGGGCGUUAGUUAAUUACUUAUUGUCUAGGGAGGUUUCCUACCCUGUUGUUCCCGGAGAAAAUGUUGGAAUAUUUUCAACGCCGCUAACCAAAGGGGGGUCCUGGGGGCAUCGCCCCCCAGGAUGGAUUGCUUGU